GACGAACGCUGGCGGCGUGGAUUAGGCAUGCAAGUCGAACGGUAUCAUCCUUUCGGGGGUGAGAGAGUGGCGAACUGGUGAGUAACACGUAGGUUAUCUACCCUCAAGACGGGGACAACCCAGGGAAACUUGGGCUAAUACCGGAUGUGAGCAACUUUUAGUUGUUUGAAAGGUGGCGUAAGCUGUCGCUUGGGGAUGAGCCUGCGUCCUAUUAGUUAGUUGGUGAGGUAACGGCUCACCUAGGCAAUGAUAGGUAGGCGGCCUUAACGGGUGGUCGCCCACACUGGGAUUGAGAUACGGCCCAGACUCCUACGGGAGGCAGCAGUCGAGAAUAGUCUACAAUGGUCGGAAGACUGAUAGUGCGACGCCGCGUGAACGAUGAAUCCCUUCGGGGUGUAAAGUUCUUUUAUAUGUGAGCAGUGCUUCUUAUAUUAACAGUAUGGGGAGAGAGAUAUUAGCAUAUGAAUAAGCAACGGCUAACUCCGUGCCAGCCAGCCGCGGU
rnacentral:rRNA from 1 species